UCUACAUCCCACUCGGUCCCUCUUCUACAUCCCACUCGGUCCCUCUUCUACAUCCCACUAGGUCCCUCUUCUACAUCCCACUAGGUCCCUCUUCUACAUCACACUAGGUCCCUCUUCUACAUCCCACUAGGUCCCUCUUUUACAUCCCACUUGGUCCCUCUUCUACAUCCCACUUGGUCCCUCUUAUACAUCCCACUCGGUCCCUCUUCUACAUCCUACUAGGUCCCUCAUCUACAUCCCACUCGGUCCCUCAUCUACAUCCCACUCGGUCCCUCUUCUACAUCCCACUAGGUCCCUCUUCUACAUCCCACUCGGCCCCUCUUCUACAUUCCAUUCGGUUUUCCAUCUGCAUCACAGUUUGUCUCACCACCUUAGUUUUUGCCUGCAGCGGAUUUUGGGUUGCAAGUUUUCCUUUGUUCAAUGAGAUGGUAACUUCAUUCUUUAGUCACGUAAUCGCUAGUUUAAUUGUUGCAGUGAAUGUAGAACAACGCUUUUGUCUUGAUUUUCAUCGGUCUAUCCUAAAAAAUUGUCACAAAAACAGAAGUGAAAAAGCCCUCCAAUAUCCAAAUGUUGUGUAAAUUUCAAUUCAUUUCAUUUUGAUACCGUGGCGGAUUAGGGGUUUUGCUAUCAAUGUCUUGAAGAAAACAGUUGUUGGAUUAUAAAUUCCGUAACAUAAAGUAGGAAAAUUUAACUUCUAUAAUUAAGUUCAUGUAUAGUUGGAAUGAUUAGGAUUUUUCUAUGAAAAUUGUUAUCGUAAAUAUGCUUCGCCACUCGGCGGAUACUGCACUUAACUCGCCAUUUAUCGAUGAAAACCGUAUAAUAUUGGUCAUAACCACGGUUUGUUGGGUUCGAUAACCACAUAAUAACUAAAAAGCUGUUUCGGUAUCGCUGGAAAGUUGUCGUUCAGUUCAGUUUAUAUGAAUUGAUCGCUUAUCUUGAAGGCCGGCGACUUAUGUGCUGUGGCGACGUGAGUGACAUUGACGUUCGGUGAUCUUUACGGUUCUGGAGGGAAGGUGGCAGUGGGAUUACUUUUCUAGUAAUAUGUGCAAUUAAAAACUCACAUUCCCAAAUUAUGAAUUCCUUUGAUAAUCUAUCAUCAGUCAUGAAAACAACUAAAUUCUGAGCAAUAACCAUCAUUGCCACUACCCCGACCAUGGCUUUUUAAUGGUAUUAUACGUUCUGUUCACUGGCGCCCCUAAAAGGUAGAAGUUGUUACGUCAGUCGCGCUCGUCGACGAAUCGUGUUGCGAUCUCUGCCUCUCCGUCUUGUAUUUGUCCCCGUAGAGCAAUUAGAUAACGUAUAGUGCAAUUAGAUAACGAUCAUCGGCGCAUCCGUCACUUCUUGCGGCCGUAAUUGUGACGCCAACUCUUUGAGGAGCAGCCUUCCUUCAUGGAGCGGAAGCCAUUUGCCCCAUGGAGAUGUUGGAUCGGGGUACAAGGUUACGACUUAUCAGAAUUAAACGGCACAUUUAAGUUCAAACUAUUACCUGGAGGUUGUUUUGUCAGGAAUUUUUGCUGCAUUGCUUCGUUUUAGUUUCCUGGUUAGUUUUUACUUUUCAUUUAAUUUUGCCCAAUGGUAUGUAUAAAUCGGAACAAAGUUCAUCUCUUACGCUACUCAACUAUUUUGCCCUAUGGGUGUUCGAUAUGAGACCACUCGUUAAUGCGAACGCUCAUAUAUAUAAGCGUAUUUCGAGUCGCUCAGCUAUUAAACUUUUUCUAAAAUGCUAGUAUCAAAUUGCCAUACAAAUCUCAGGACGUACUGUCGUAAUCAAUUCAAGUUGUCAGAUUUAAAUUCCAGUUAAACAUAUGAACAUUCAUCACCAGAGCUAACUUCUCAAUCACAUAAUGCCUGUAAACGCUACCUUUGUUUGAGCUCGGUAUGCGCCUUGAUUCAAGUCGGCAAUUUCAUAUCUGGGUUUUCCCUCUCCGUUGUAGCUCGGCUGUAAUGGCUGAUCCCUAAAUAUUGCAAUAACAAUAAAAUGACGCGCCUUAAUGUACCCGCACCCACGCACAAGUCCUUGUUUUAACUGCCGUUAUUUUUCCCUUGCAAUGUUUUUUAGACAUCGCUGGUGAUCCUUUAUAUAUCUUACAUGACGUCGUGUUGGAGUGUGUUUAGGGAUAUGUACCGCUUUUGCACGCGAAUUGUUUCAAGUUCAAGUCUCGCGUUUCAUUUUCUGCAAUUGAUUUUGCACGGAUGCCGUACAGCAAUAAUAGCCAGUGCAUCAAUGCCGUGCAAGCCAUUAUUGCUGCUCCAAUCUUGUAAUGGCCGAGUUGGGUAAUUAUUUAUUAUUGGUUCUUAGUUUCUUUGCAAGAUUGAAUGAAAAUAAAAAAUUGCAAAAUAAAACAUCAUCUGAACGUACUGUUGGGUGGUCGUUCGUGUUUGAACUCGUCAACUAACAACACAUCGGUCUUGUGCAAACCUUGAACUCUUGCGUUAUUAUCUCUUCUAUUGACUGAUAAAUAUGACGCAUUGUUUCUUAAUUCUUCGCUUGAUCAUUCACGCGGUAAUCUUCUUUGUUUUCUGCCAUCAAUUACGUAGCUAUUCCAAGCGCGUUCAUCGCUGUGUCGAGCUGGAGACCUGGACAAGUGAGGCGUGGUCUUUGUAUGAUUAUUGCACGACUUCGAGUCAUUUAAGAAUUACUGCUCUCAAAUAGUAACUGAUGAAUGUAAUCUCAAAAUUUAGAUAACGAUUGUAGAAGAGUUUACGAUCAUGCAAGAAUCUUUGAGUAUUCGAAUAUUUUACUGCGCUUGCUGAUUAUUUGAUCUGAAGUUUUUGUAUUUUACUGUAUGGUUUUCGGUUAUACUGUGUCCUGAUAGCCCAUGAAAAACUUCUGUAUGACAUGACACGAGAUAAGAUAAGUUAUAAGGCGACAAUAAUAAGAGCUCUGCCUACAUUGUAGUGUCCAGUUUUACAAAAGGUUAUUGGGACUCUUGUUUUAUUAUGUAGCUUGUUUUUCUGUAAUCUGGUGUAGGAAACUGGAUCAUUCUUCCGUUUGGUAUUUUUUGGUUGGAUAAAUCAGGUUAUGUUGGCCAUCACAGGCCCUGGCUCCGCUCCGGGCCUGGGAACCGAGCCCUCGCCCCGUUAGUCCGCAGCUGUUGCGUAAAUAUGCUACCGGAAAAUCUCCCUUGCUAUGCUAAUGAUAUUUGUAUGCGCUGUGUCGAUGUUUUCUGAAAUAAUAUUCUUUCGCAUGGUCAGAUGAUUCUUCUCACCUUGAUAAAAAUGCCAUUCGUGUACUAGUAUCUUCUUGAUACAAAUCCAAUUUUGAGAUUAGUAUGAAUGAAUUGUAAAAUGCAUUGAUUGUUUGUUAUGACCCCUAUUUGUGCAGCUUUUAAUUUGUCUGAUAUUGUUAUGAGAUAUAAAUUUAUUUUCCCCUUGAUUAGUCAUCUAUUUCUAUGUCGGUCCCUAUCACGCAUCGAUGGCGACGAGGACUGCAGCUUUAUUUCCACGUGCCAACUCAGUGACAUUUCGAGGCAGUCGUUAGGACCGUUUGCUCAUUCGCCUGAAACACGAGGAUGAUUAUAUGUACUGUUCUCGUAUAUUAAAUUUUGAUUGUUUUCAAUGACAUUCCUAAUGUAAUAAAUAGUGAACUCUCUUAAAAACCAAUUCGUGGAACUAGACGAAUUAUGCCGGAAUUAUUUUUCCAGCCGGAGUUCGGUUGAAUUUCAGUUGAACUCGUGUGGAUAAUGAGUAUGUAUGUGUUUCAUUUCAACUUUAUAAAGUUGUCAUGCAUCUCCCGAGGUAACGUUUUUUACUCUUCUUUUAACGACUCUCCUGACCCGUUAUCGCUCACGUAGUUGUGUCACACCGACGAGACCGUUAAUAAUAAUUAAUGGUCUCAUUCAUUAUUGAAGUUAUGUCUUCAACAACGUGACCGUUACACCCGUGCUACGUACACGCACAGUGACGCUGUCAGAUCUGAUCGAAUAUCUGCUCGAGGCGCAUAUUUUGUUUUGUCUUCCAGCAAUGAUGUUGUGUUUUUGAUGUCAUGUAUUGCAGCUCUAAUGUUGUCACUAUGUUUUGUUUACGAUGUUGACGCUAUAUUGCAUCUGUGAUAUUGACGUUAUGGUGCUGCUGUGGUGGAUUUAAAACAAGCAGAAACUAUCCACGCACCCAUAGAAUGGAGGUAUUGUCAACUUUAAAAAUAUUGGCAUAGAGGAAUGUGGUAAAAUGUUCGAUACUGUGUUUGUUAAAAUUAUUUUAAAUUGUCCUGUUUUGUUAUUCCAUCUGCGCAUUGAUUAAAACUUCCUCACAUCGUCUCAUUUGCACAAAGGUGUCCUGUAUGUAUAUUUGCUCCUUGAAUAAAAAUUCUGGAUUCGGCACUGAAGGAUCGUAUGUUCAUGCACUAGUUUUGAUGCUCUCAUGGCUCUUGUUCAUGUUAAUCAUAAUCUUAUCUUAGAACAUCAUGCAAAUCGUGCUCAAGUCAAGUGGCUUGUCGCUAUCGAAACAAGGCGUGUCCGCAUGCUCGGUGACUAUAAUUUCCGCCUCAAUGCUUUUACGAUUGGAAUAAAAGACUUGGCCCUAAGCUGUGUAUUCAUUGUUUGUCUUGCCGCUUAGUCUACGUACGUGUCAAGCUUUCGCCCUGCGAUCAUUGUUGCACUUUAUUGUCAAUUGCCAAGGGUUGUUCGACUGACGACGUUUAUUUCUCUUGGAAAUUAUUCCCCUUGGGACUAGAAUGCACGCUGGCUACCCUCCAGUGAACAAUUUUUAUUAGGAGUUGAAACUUGACCUGCAGGUCAAAAUAUCUAGUUUUAUGUCUCCUUUAUUUGAUGCUCAUGUCGGGUCAGACUGGAUUUUAUUGACGGUCAUAAUCAUGAACUUGGAAGUGUUUUCCACCAACUUUGAGAGUUUUGCGGAUUUAGUUUUUUAUAUGUAUCUGUUAAUUACCGUAGUUACCGUGGAUGGGUUGUAAAUAACAUAUUUUAGAGAAUUUCGAACUUCUGACAGCGCAAGUGGAUGUUAAAUCGACUAUGUAAUCCUAUUACUAAUGGAAACUAUAGCGCAAACUUUGACCUUAUUCGCAAAUUGUUUAUUAGUGGGAGGUUGCGUAGAAUCAUUCAUAAAGACUUCGCUGUUGAUUUUUAAUCAGUACGCCGGCAAAUAAUUCCAUUAAUUUUUUGAUGUAAUGAAAGUAGAGAUAAUUCACUUGAUGUAAUGCCUAUGAAACUGAUGAAUUUAUCGUUUGUACUUUUCUUAGAAUUAGUCUACGAAAUAUUUUUCUAUAUAUUCUAGCGAAUCCAGAUGUUCUAUAUUGACGUAAAUGUAAUGAUAUAUACACUUAGAUUAGUGAAGAGAUGGUGGUAUAACAAACUUUUGUAAAUAGUCCAAACUAAAUGAAUGUUUAUACGUUUAUUACUGUGCCUGCAAGUGUUUUUAUAACAGUUACACAUUUCAGCUACUCGUUUUCCCGUAGAAUUGCUCAUGUUUUUGCUCAAGCUCUGAACUCAGUCACAUUCUAGCGACAAUAAAUGCAUGGAAGAAGCGAGUUUCGGCCCGCGGUUUGCGGUCAGCCCGUCUCUUGAACUUCUUAAUUUAAUAAAUUAGUCCGUUUAGGCGGGUUAUUAAAUUCCUUUUUACUGUUAAGGUUAACGCGUCACGUUAAAUGGUCUUACCGCAGUCAAGGCCAGCACGGCGAGUUCCGCUUUGAAUGCUUCUACUCCAGAUUCUCUUCAUAAUCACGACAUUUUAUGUAAGAAGAUUACAAGCCAUGGAGAAGAGUACCUUAAGUAAAUGUUCAAUGUUUCAGCAAGACGAUGGAUGUGGAAUAAAUUUAUUUUCUGUUUUUUUUAGCGGAAAAUUAUUUUUUUGGCAAUUAUGUUUCUCAGAGAUUAAAUAUUAUUUUUCAUCUAUUCAUUGCGUGAACACUGAUUAUUGAAUAUUGGUUUAUCUUAUCUUGAAUGCUGAACCAUGUUUUCGUCAGAUUAUAAUAUAAUGAUGUGCAGAGCUUUGCAAGUUUUGCUAUAUUAAGGAAGUCAGAAUAACUGAUUGCUGUUUAUAAUGUAAACUAAUGAGGGUACUACAAGUGAAAAUAUAUAAUCUUUUGUGUGCAACCUGAAUUGUACGUGCAAUGUAUAUGAGAAGAGCUGUACAAUUGCUUCACAAAAUAUAUAUGUGGCUAAUUUUUUA
rnacentral:lncRNA from 1 species